rnacentral:rRNA from 1 species
GGAUUAGAUACCCUGGUAGUCCACGCCGUAAACGAUGGUUACUAGGUGUUGGUAGGGUCAACUUAUCAGUACCGGAGUUCACGCGUUAAGUAACCCGCCUGGGGAGUACGGCCGCAAGGCUAAAACUCAAAGGAAUUGACGGGGGCCCGCACAAGCGGUGGAGUAUGUGGUUUAAUUCGAAGCAACGCGAAGAACCUUACCUGGAUUUGACAUCCUGUGACAGCCUCAGAGAUGGGGUGUCCUGGCAACAGGCACAGAGACAGGUGCUGCAUGGCUGUCGUCAGCUCGUGCC